UCAUUGCAUCGUACUCACCAGCAAUUUCGAUAGUGUCAACAUUAUAAUUUACAAACGUCACUUUACAUUUUCUUAGCGUCCGCUUCAUAAUUGCUUUUUCAUAUGUUGCUUUUGGAAUCAAUGUGCAAGGUGCACCAGUGUCGCAAACAACAUUCAUGUGAAAGAGAUCGAGAGAUUAAAGUUAUCGCUGUUGCUAUGUACGUAGUUCACGUUCUCUUCAGCUCUCUUAGCGGUAAUCUUCGUCUCCAUUAUCAUUGCUUUUCUCAAUGCGUCCGACAGAGACGAAAAACUUCACAAAACCGUUUAAAAAUUGCACUUGGAAGACUCAUGAUGAAUUGGUUUAAAACAGAUGUUCCAGAUGUUGUCCAAACUUGCAAUUUAAUGCUAACUGACACGUGCAUACCAACUUGAAACGGUUUCAUUUUAGCUUUUUGUGAACAUGUGAAAGGUUUUUCUUUCCCGAAACACUAGUGUUGGUAGUGUAUAAUGCAAAAGCAUUAUUUCACAAAGUUAUUUGUAUGAUUUAGAUAAUGUUUUACCCGAGCGGAGAGAGGGCAAUUUUGGCCGUCACCUAAAAAAAGUGGAUGCAUAGUGCAAAACCAAUCGCGUCAGAGUCAUUUUCACUUCCGGUUAUACUAAAAUUCCAAAUCAAAUGGCUGCAUGUACGUAUAAAACACCUUUCCUCCAAAAAAUAACACGCAAUAUAUACAGUAAAAUUAGUUGUGAUAUUUUUGAGUCGAACUAAUGUCCCGUCAGUUGGCUAAGGACAACGCUAAGAAAUAAAAAAUUAUCGGGGAAAUAGUUUUCACGUCUUUAUUCUUUUGAUCUCAGCUUAAGACUUAAUAUCAAAUGUAAAUUGGAUUGAGGAGUAGCCUUAGUAUUUUAAUAAUAAUUGUAUUUCGGAAGAGCCUCGCUCUUGGAUUCUUAGGAUUAAGAAAUGGUUUAAAAAGAGCAGUCAAAUCGGCUUAGGUAAGGCUUGUUUACAAGAACGGCUAUUAGACCGGCUUUAUUAGAAACGGAUGCUGCGCAGCUGGGACAUUAUUAUAUAAGUUAGCACCAAAAGAAUUCGCAAGAACAAUCUGCGAAGACUUACACGCGCAUCUGGCCGUGCACCUGCAGUAGCCAAUAAAUGCAAGAUCAGCGUCUGGAGCGCUUCCGUGGGAGCGACGAUGGCAGAGCCAACAACGGAGUUGGCACUGACGCUAGCAGAAGCAGCGACGGUGCUGGGGGGUAUAAAUACCACCCCAUUUUGUACUUUAAAUUCAGUUCCGAUUCUUAUCAAAAUAAAGACGGAC